rnacentral:rRNA from 1 species
CGGCAUGCUUAACACAUGCAAGUCGAACGAAGUCUUUCGAGACUUAGUGGCGGACGGGUGCGUAACGCGUAAGAACCUACCCUUGGGAGGGGGAUAACUAUCGGAAACGAUAGCUAAUACCCCAUAUGCUGAGGAGUGAAAGGGAGUGUAAACUCUCGCCUAGGGAUGGGCUUGCGUCUGAUUAGCUAGUUGGUGGGGUAAUAGCCUACCAAGGCCACGAUCAGUAGCUGGUCUGAGAGGAUGAUCAGCCACACUGGGACUGAGACACGGCCCAGACUCCUACGGGAGGCAGCAGUGAGGAAUUUUCCGCAAUGGGCGAAAGCCUGACGGAGCAAUGCCGCGUGGAGGAUUACAGCCCAUGGGUUUUAAACUCCUUUUCUCGGAGAAGAAGCAGUGACGGUAUCCGAGGAAUAAGCAUCGGCAAACUCCGUGCCAGCAGCCGCGGUAAUACGGGGGAUGCAAGCGUUAUCCGGAAUGAUUGGGCGUAAAGCGUCUGUAGGUGGUAGUUGAAGUCUGCUGUUCAAGACCAGGGCUUAACCCUGGACCGGCAGUGGAAACUCAGCUGCUUGAGUGCGGUAGGGGCAGAGGGAAUUCCCGGUU